rnacentral:rRNA from 1 species
GACGAACCGUGCGAACGUUGUUCGGAAUCACUGGGCUUAAAGGGAGCGUAGGCGGGCUAUCAAGUCUGGGGUGAAAUCCCGCGGCUCAACCGUGGAACUGCCUCAGAUACUGACGGCCUCGAGGGAGAUAGGGGCAUGCGGAACUGUAGGUGGAGCGGUGAAAUGCGUUGAUAUCUACAGGAACUCCGGUGGCGAAAGCGGCGCACUGGACCACAACUGACGCUGAGGCGCGAAAGCUAGGGGAGCAAACAGG